rnacentral:rRNA from 1 species
AUAUUAAUAAGCGGAGGAAAAGAAACUAACAAGGAUUCCCCUAGUAACGGCAAGUGAAGCGGGAACAGCUCAAGAUUAAAAUCGGUCAUCCAAGCGGGUGAUCGAGUUGUAAUCUAAAGACGCGUUGCCAGUGGUGACCUGGGUAUAAGUUUUUUGGAAAAAAGCAUCAGAGAGGGUGAGAAUCCCGUCUUUGACCUGGAGUUCACCGCGGACGGCACGUGUUCAACGAGUCGAGUUGUUUGGGAUUGCAGCUCUAAUUGGGUGGUAAAUUUCAUCUAAAGCUAAAUACCUGCGAGAAACCGAUAGCGAACAAGUACCAUGAGGGAAAGAUGAAAAGAACUUUGAAAAGAGAGUUAAAAAGUACUUGAAAUUGUUAAGAGGGAAGCGAUGGCAACCAGUCUGCCGUGACACGUAGUUUUCUAAGCAGACGCUUGGGCUUUCUGACGGUAGGUUAGGUUCCUGAUUUUGGGUCCUCAGCCUGCUGGCAUGUAGUUCAAGGGCUGUGUCUGAAGCUGCGUGCUCGGUUAGCAUCAGUUCGAUAACUAAGUGGGAGAUUGUGAGUGGGAAGGUAGGGAGCGUGGCUUUCGGGUCAUGAUACU